CAGACUCAUUAUCUUAUCUCUUACCUCAACCUGGGGAGGAUGGCUCGGAAGAAGGAUCAACCCUUGGAUGCAGCUAAAGAAAUUGGGAGCUAGUCCUAGAUUCAGAUUUCAUUCAUGGUACGGACAGUUUGGAGUAACAUAUCCCUCCCAAGAAGUGGUGAGUCCACAUGUGUCCACUUGAGGAUUAGAGCAGCUGUCAGUUGUGCUAAGGCCCAUUGCUGCAUCCCAGGAGCUUCCUACAUCAGCUACCAGUCCCUCAGUGUAGUGAACUGUACUAGAAACCUGGCUGUCUUUGAUCUGGUGUUCCCGGAGUGAUGGUUUACCCAUGCCCCUGGGAUGGUGGUGGGACCUUGGAGCAAGCCUUGU